GACGAACGCUGGCGGCGUGCCUAAUACAUGCAAGUAGAACGCUGAAGAGAGGAGCUUGCUCUUCUUGGAUGAGUUGCGAACGGGUGAGUAACGCGUAGGUAACCUGCCUUGUAGCGGGGGAUAACUAUUGGAAACGAUAGCUAAUACCGCAUAACAAUGGAUGACACAUGUCAUUUAUUUGAAAGGGGCAAUUGCUCCACUACAAGAUGGACCUGCGUUGUAUUAGCUAGUAGGUGAGGUAACGGCUCACCUAGGCGACGAUACAUAGCCGACCUGAGAGGGUGAUCGGCCACACUGGGACUGAGACACGGCCCAGACUCCUACGGGGGGCAGCAGUAGGGAAUCUUCGGCAAUAGGGGCAACCCUGACCGAGCAACGCCGCGUGAGUGAAGAAGGUUUUCGGAUCGUAAAGCUCUGUUGUAAGUCAAGAACGAGUGUGAGAGUGGAAAGUUCACACUGUGACGGUAGCUUACCAGAAAGGGACGGCUAACUACGUG
rnacentral:rRNA from 1 species